CGCGGCCUAUCAGCUUGUUGGCGGGGUAACGGCCCACCAAGGCGAUGACGGGUAACUGGCGUGAGAGCGCGAUCAGUCACACCGGGACUGAGACACGGCCCGGACUCCUACGGGAGGCAGCAGUAGGGGAUCUUGGACAAUGGGCGAAAGCCUGAUCCAGCGACGCCGCGUGGGGGACGAAGGCCUUCGGGUUGUAAACCCCUGUUGUUGGGAAAGAAACCGGGCUUCGCCCGGUGACGGUACCCAACGAGGAAGCCCCGGCUAACUACGUGCCAGCAGCCGCGGUAAGACGUAGGGGGCGAGCGUUAUCCGGAUUCACUGGGCGUAAAGGGCGCGCAGGCGGUUACGUAAGUCCGGCGUGAAAUCCCACGGCUUAACUGUGGAACUGCGUCGGAUACUGCGUUGACUUGAGGUUGGUAGAGGCCAUUAGAACUAGCGGUGUAGCGGUGAAAUGCGCAGAUAUCGCUAGGAAUGCCGGUGGCGAAGGCGGAUGGCUGGGCCAAUCCUGACGCUGAGGCGCGAAAGCUAGGGGAGCGAACCGGAUUAGAUACCCGGGUAGUCCUAGCCGUAAACGGUGGGUGCUAGGUGUGGGGGUCGCAAGACUUCCGUGCCGCAGCUAACGCAUUAAGCACCCCGCCUGGGGAGUACGG
rnacentral:rRNA from 1 species